UACAGAGGUCUCAAGCGUUGUUCGGAUUCAUUGGGCGUAAAGGGUGCGUAGGUGGCGAGGCAAGUCAGAUGUGAAAUCCCGGGGCUCAACCCCGGAACUGCAUUUGAAACUGCCUUGCUCGAGUACUGGAGAGGAGACUGGAAUUUACGGUGUAGCAGUGAAAUGCGUAGAUAUCAAGAGGAACACCAGUGGCGAAGGCGGAUCCCUGGGCCAUCACUGACGCUGAGGAGCGAAAGCGUGGGGAGCGAACAGG
rnacentral:rRNA from 1 species